UGCUAGCAGGAAAAGCCUCUAAGCAUCAGGUAACAUCAAAUCGUACCCCAAACCGACACAGGUGGUCAGGUAGAGAAUACCAAGGCGCUUGAGAGAACUCGGGUGAAGGAACUAGGCAAAAUGGUGCCGUAACUUCGGGAGAAGGCACGCUGGUGUGUAGGUGAAGUCCCUGCGGAUGGAGCUGAGACCAGUCGAAGAUACCAGCUGGCUGCAACUGUUUAUUAAAAACACAGCACUGUGCAAACACGAAAGUGGACGUAUACGGUGUGACGCCUGCCCGGUGCCGGAAGGUUAAUUGAUGGGG
rnacentral:rRNA from 1 species